AUUGAACGCUGGCGGCAGGCCUAACACAUGCAAGUCGAGCGCGCGGCGGACGUGAGUGUCAUGUCUGGGAAACAGCCAUAUGGAGGGGGAUCACUACUGGAAACGGUAGCUACUACCGCAUACCAUCAACUGUCCCCAGAUGGGAUUAGCGAGUAGGUGGUGUAACGGCUCACCUAGGCCACGAUCCCUAGCGGUUCUGAGAGGAGGACCAGCACCAAUGGAACUGAUACACGGUCCAGACUCCUACGGGAGGCAGCAGUGGGGAAUCUGGCACACUGGGCGCAAGCCUGAUGCAGCCAUGCCGCGUGUGUGAAGAAGGCCUUCGGGUUGUAAAGCACUUUCAGCGAGGAGGCGUUACUCGCAGAAGAAGCACCGGCUAACUACGUGCCAGCAGCCGCGGUAAUUC
rnacentral:rRNA from 1 species